ensembl:lincRNA
GGCUGUUCCAGGGUGCUGCCUCCUGCGUGGUUGGGGGCAGGGGUGUCUUUCCUGCUCCACUGUCUAUCCGCAGCCCUGCGCUGCCUGGGCACAGUGCCGAGAAGUCUUCCUGUGCUGCGGUUUAAUGGUGAUUUAACGUUGCAUGCUGAAUUUUCGGGUCGUGUUCGAAAAAUAUAUUACUGACCUUUAGAGCAUUUUUUUAAAGCAGCAAAACCAUGUCAUUUUAUUUUCUUUUUGUGUUUUAACCUUGGGAAAGAAGUCUCUUCCCAUUAUUGGAAGCUGAAUUGAAGACAUCCUGGAGGAUUGGCUGAGGCAAUUCCUGUUGAUUUGAGGAUAGCUACUCUCCACAAAGCCAAAAUCGAGAGGAGACGUCUGCCCUUCUGCCCUGGUCCUGCUCCACCCUCGACCCACCCGGGACCUUGCUGGGUGUGACGUCACGGAGGUGGACUGAGAGGAGGCUGCGGGGCUGGGCUCCCACUCCCACCCAGGCUGCGCCCGCGUGGCACGGUGACCUCUAAGUGCCCCUGCCCCAUUCCCAGACCAGCACUGCCCGUAGCCGUGGCUAGGCUUCAGUGCACUGUCUGCAUUUCAUGUGUUAGUAAUAGGAAAAAAAACUGGUUCAAGGGUUUGUGAAAAGAAGUGACAGAAGGAGGAGAAUGCUGUGCUUCGCCAAUAAGAUAGGGUUUGUCCCUUCUCUCCCUCAUCAGCUGACAGCUGCCUGCAGAGCCUCGCACUGGACUUGGAAGCCCCACAGGGGCAGCACACGGGGCUCCUGGCAGCUGUGCCUUGAGGUUCGGACCGGCGACCUUUUCCGGUGAGAACGGUGUAGGCAGUGUUCCUGUACAUGGGGUGAAAAGCCAGCAUGUCGCUUACUUGCAUCGGUUCUCCUCGGUUAUACAGUCCAGCUAAGCAUACCAUAGCAUCAGACUGCAUUUCGACGCAGGACUCACAGAACACUAAAAUCACAGCAGCACUGGGGACUUGGAACACCUCUCUCCGAAACAAGCCAAGUAGACCACCCACUAGCAAAGGUGAGUGACAUCAACACAUUUGCAGACACAGGGAACCUUCAGUAAUUCUAACCAUUCCCUGUCACAUAGGGGAACUUCUCAAUAGUAGUAUUACAGAUUUAGAAAUAAACAGGAAUGAGGAGGCUCCUGAUAACACAGUCUCCCUGGUCAGAGGUGGGUGCCACGUACUUAAAAAGCCACUGACGGACCCAGCUGUGGUCCUGAGUUGACAAUGACUCCCUUAAAAAAAAUUGUGCAUUGUGCUGGAUUGUACCAAUAAACUCAAUAAAAAAGAAAAAAAUAUUGUGCUUACUUUCAGCAGCAUGUCCACUAAUAAUUUAUUGUGUGUGAGAGUGAGGGUAGGGACAUCUGACCAGGACUGUUUAAAGUUGAGGGUUUUCCUGUGUUGUGAUAAACUCUGCAUUAGAGGGAAGAGGAGGGAAAGGGCAAAAUCUCUUUUAACAUUUUAUUCUGAAAAAUGUGAGGAAGGUAUUUGUUAAUACCAUGGUAAUUCCUGUAAAUGUUUUAUGCAUUCAUCAUUCAGCUAAAAAAAAUUUAAGAAAAGCAACAUAAUAAAAAACUUAGAAGUAAUCAAUAAAUAGAAAAGCAACAUCUAAUAAAUUAGAAAAUUGGAUAAUAGUAGAUUUGACCCAUAAAAUGAAACACAAUCAAGACAAUGAACUAUGCCUUAAAAGGAC